rnacentral:rRNA from 1 species
AACGAACGCUGGCGGCAUGCCUAACACAUGCAAGUCGAACGAGACCUGCGGGUUUAGUGGCGCACGGGUGCGUAACGCGUGGGAACCUGCCCUUAGGUUCGGAAGAACUCCCCGAAAGGGGUGCUAAUACCGGAUAAUGUCUUCGGACCAAAGAUUUAUCGCCUUUGGAUGGGCCCGCGUUGGAUUAGCUAGUUGGUAGGGUAAAAGCCUACCAAGGCGACGAUCCAUAGCUGGUCUGAGAGGAUGAUCAGCCACACUGGGACUGAGACACGGCCCAGACUCCUACGGGAGGCAGCAGUGGGGAAUAUUGGACAAUGGGCGAAGGCCUGAUCCAGCAAUGCCGCGUGAGUGAUGAAGGCCUUAGGGUUGUAAAGCUCUUUUACCCGGGAUGAUAAUGACAGUACCGGGAGAAUAAGCUCCGGCUAACUCCGUG